AACGAACGCUGGCGGCGUGCUUAACACAUGCAAGUCGAACGGGUUCAUAAUGAGUAGCAAUACUUGAUAUGAAUUAGUGGCGGACGGGUGAGUAACACGUAGGUAACCUACCCUUGAGCGGGGGACAACCCAGGGAAACUUGGGCUAAUACCCCAUAAGACCACGGGGUGCAAAUUCCGUGGUAAAAGUAGUAAUACGCUCAUGGACGGGCCUGCGGCCUAUCAGGUAGUUGGUGAGGUAAAGGCCCACCAAGCCAAAGACGGGUAGCCGGGCUGAGAGGUUGAACGGCCACACUGGAACUGAGACACGGUCCAGACUCCUACGGGUGGCUG
rnacentral:rRNA from 1 species